rnacentral:lncRNA from 1 species
UUCAUUCGUCUCUAUCAACUAUAGAAAAAUUGUUCACAAAUUAAUAAAAUAAAUUUAUAAAAUAAAAUAGAAAAAUGGAAAAGAAAAAGGCAUCUUUCUUCAUCCUCCUACUCUCACAAUCAUUCCUCAUUCUCGAAAAUCUUGAACUAUGCCAGAAAACCCACUUUCAUGGCGGAUCGGGAAUUAUGCAUUUUGUUUGUUAGCCCCGAUCCUCGUCCACUGCAUCCCUCACCUGGGCGUAUUAUCCGCGAUCUGCUCCGCUUGCGUGCUCCACCACCAGCAUCAGCCGUUCAUCUGCCUUCAGUAUGUUUCCAACGUCUUGGGGCUCGGAUCGGAUGACGACAAUGAUAUCUCGCAAUAGGAAGUCUAUCAAAUAAUAAUUUCGCAAAAUAUAUUUUGAACAAAUAUGGAGAACAAAUUGAACAACCAAAGAAAUAUUUAGAACACAUGACAAAAAACAAAUAAGAUGUUUAUCAAAUAAUAAUUUCGCAAUAAACAUUUUGAACAAACAUGGAGAAUGAAUUGAACAAUCCGACAAAUAUUUCGAACGGGUGGCAAAGCAACAACUCAAAGCUUUAUGAACUGAUAUAUUGGUGAAACCUUCUUUUUCCAACAAACUUAAAAGAAUUCAACGAAACAACAUUUGAUUAUUACAGUGGAAAAUUUGGAGAUCAUUAAUAGAAUAUUAUUGAUUGUUCUACAAACCCAAAACGAAUAUGCAAUCAAAACCAGAGUAUAUUGAAGUUGGAAAUGAGGUCUUAUGAUUUCGGUUUUGAACUUUCAACAAACAUAUAUUGUGUAGUUCGCAUUUAACUAAGUUGUCAAAGUAAAUUCAAUUUAAACUUGUUCAUGUGGUUGAUUUGCCCAGAAUUAUAAUUCCAUGAAAGUGCCAAAAAAAAAAAUGCCAACUGAAAUCCUCACCUUGAUCGGCGAGAUGGGCAGCAAGCACGGGGUGCUGCGGUGCCAGGAUGCGCGCUCGAACCAGCAGCGGCAGCAGUCGUGUGCUUCGACAAGCCCGUCACGUAAAGUCAGCGAGCGACUUCCGCGUUCGUCGCAGAUGCCGACGAUUGAAACGAUGACCG